UGUUCUUCUUAACCUGAGAAACCAAAAAUCGAAAUAAUCUCUUCUUCUUCUGCGAAGACGAUGAUGAUCCAUCUCCGACGAGUGAACCACUCUCUAUCUCUCUCUCUCAGCCCUCCAUCAUCACUCAGGAGAAACCCUAAUCCGCAAGAUUGAUCGGAGCGAAGCAUCUCACGGUUUCUCAAAACUCUAAAAUCUCUCUACGGACCCUAAUUCUCGAACAUGGCGCGUCUCUUAUUCAGCCACCGCCUACUCCGCCCUUCUUCCCCGUACUCUUUUCUUCUGCAGGUCUUCUAGGGUUCCGAGCCAAGGAGAUGGCCUUGUUUUUCAAUCGGGCUCUUAAUUAAUCUCUAACAGAGGAUCUCUCCGGUGUUCUUUGCUGUGGGAUCUUGUCUCGUCCAAAGCGUGGGUGCGGAUCACACACAGCAGGAGUAGCUCCGAUCGAGAUGGUUUUGAAGAAUGGACAAGUUUCAUAACCAAAAUUUGUCAUCUCAUCAAGCCAACCACAGGAGAAGGUGAUCUUGUUUGCGCAUUGCCAAACAGUUGAGCAGUUGUGCGAAUCUUCAAGGGAUGUUGCAGGACAACAGUUGGCUCUUGCUCGCUGCUGGUGCCGAGGACAACAGUUGGCUCUCUCGUUCAAUCUGUGUGCUCGCUGCAGGUGCAGAGGUAAACAGGUAAGAAGAAGAAGAACCCCUUGAGGAUUAAAAGGAAGCCUCAGGGUAUUAAUCAAGUUACUCCUCCUUCUACCGAAUCAACCACAGAGGUUUUUCAAGGACACGUUUGGAAGACCUCUAUUUACAAGAACAUCACACAGCCUCCGUAUCUUUCUAAUCCUGCCUUUUAGCUCAGGUUCCGAGCCAGCCAAGCAAUGGCCAAGGAGAUGGCCUUGUUAGCCUUCAAUCGGGGGCUCCUAAGCUCUCUAAACAUACACAGAGGAUCUCUCCGGUUCUUUGUUUGCCAACUUCUCUCGUCCAAAGCGUGGGUGGGGAAUCACAGGUGGUUAUGUAAUCUGAUUCACGAGUAUCAUCAAGUCAAUUACAGGACAAGGUGAUCUUGUUUGCGCAUUGCCAAACAGUUGAGCAGAUUUGUGGAGGAUCCUUCCUACGAUUGAUCGGUGAUGGCUUUGAUUGAUCGUUGUCAAGCGUUUUCUCUUAUCUUCUCGUCUAGAAUCAUCUGUUUAGGUAUGCAUGUUUCUAAUUACUUGUCGUUUUGUUAUUGUUAAUUUAGAUUUGUGGAGGAUCCUUCCUACGAUUGAUCGGUGAUGGCUUUGAUUGAUCGUUGUCAAGCGUUUUCUCUUAUCUUCUCGUCUAGAAUCAUCUGUUUAGGUCUUGUGGGGUUAGAGGACAAAAAGGUUGGCCAGAUAAAACAUUUCCCCUCUUUCAGUUGGGUGAUUUCCUAAGUAUUUAACGGCAUUGGAAUCUUUCUAUGAGAAGUUGGAUCCAGAUUUUAUCAACAUCAGGACAAAGGCCAGAGAGGUGUUGCAGAGGGAGGACGAUCUUGAUGAAAUUGUCUAGAAUAAUUAUUGGAGGACUCACUUUACUGUACCAAGGAGUCAUGUAGCCCUGUGGUCCUAAAAAAAUACUGUGGAAUUUGAGUAAGAGGAACUCGAGAAGGCACCAAAAUUCAAAGCAAAACCUUUGAACAAAAAGGUCUGAAUGAUGAGUUAAGAUAUGAGUACUAAAGAAUCGUUUUUUUGUUGGAGCUUCGUCGAUUUGAGAUUGAUUAAAAGUUGUCUGAUGAUGAAUCCAUUGCACUUUGGCCAGAAAAUGUGUCAAAAUUAUCUCAAGCCAAAGGGAAUCAUCAGAAAAGUGUGAAAAGGGAAACGAGUAUUUUGCUGACCUGCUUUAUGAUCCUUCAUUUGAAUUCACUCACGACUCCCGCCAAUGGCUUGAUUGAGUAACGUCCCUCGAAUCACUUUCAUUUGGAAGCUCAAUCGUGGUCUCUCCAUGGUUGAUCCUUGAUAGCUACAAGCUGAAGCAAUGCCAAGACUUGACCGAUAAAGAGACUUUCAUUUUGUGUGCUCUGAGGUUGUGCAUUUUUUUGUCUAUUA